rnacentral:rRNA from 1 species
AUUGAACGCUGGCGGCAUGCCUUACACAUGCAAGUCGAACGGCAGCACGGACAUCGGUCUGGUGGCGAGUGGCGAACGGGUGAGUAAUGUAUCGGAACGUACCUUUCAGUGGGGGAUAACGUAGCGAAAGUUACGCUAAUACCGCAUAUUCUGUGAGCAGGAAAGCAGGGGAUCGCAAGACCUUGCGCUGAUUGAGCGGCCGAUAUCAGAUUAGCUAGUUGGUGGGGUAACGGCCUACCAAGGCAACGAUCUGUAGCGGGUCUGCGAGGAUGAUCCGCCACACUGGAACUGAGACACGGUCCAGACUCCUACGGGAGGCAGCAGUGGGGAAUUUUGGACAAUGGGGGCAACCCUGAUCCAGCCAUGCCGCGUGAGUGAAGAAGGCCUUCGGGUUGUAAAGCUCUUUCGGCCGGGAAGAAAUCGCAUCAGCUAAUACCUGGUGUGGAUGACGGUACCGGAAUAAGAAGCACCGGCUAACUACGUGCCAGCAGCCGCAGUAA